GCAGCCGCGGUAACACCGGCAGCUCUAGUGGUAACAAUUUUUAUUGGGCCUAAAGCGUCCGUAGCCGGUUUAAUAAGUCUCUGGUGAAAUCCUGCAGCUUAACUGUGGGAAUUGCUGGAGAUACUAUUAGACUUGAGACCGGGAGAGGUUAGAGGUACUCCCAGGGUAGAGGUGAAAUUCUGUAAUCCUGGGAGGACCGCCUGUUGCGAAGGCGUCUAACUGGAACGGUUCUGACGGUGAGGGACGAAAGUUAGGGGCGCGAACCGGAUUAGAUACCCC
rnacentral:rRNA from 1 species